rnacentral:rRNA from 1 species
GACGAACGCUGGCGGCGUGCUUAACACAUGCAAGUCGAACGGGCUUGGUUCUUCGGAAUCAAGUUAGUGGCGAACGGGUGAGUAACACGUGGGUGACCUGCCUCAUACUUUGGGAUAAGCCUGGGAAACUGGGUCUAAUACCGGAUAGGACCUUUCACUGCAUGGGUGGGGGGUGGAAGACUUUCGGGUGGUAGUGGGAGUGGGCCCGGCCGGCCUAUCAGCUUGUUGGUGGCGGUAGUGGCGUACC